GAUCUAUUAGCUCAAUUGGUUAAAGCGUCGUGCUAAUAACGCGAAAGUCACAGGUUUGAUUCAUGCAUGGGCCA
rfam:Glycine soja cultivar W05 scaffold4727_7, whole genome shotgun sequence.